AGAGUUUGAUCAUGGCUCAGGAUGAACGCUGGCGGCGUGCCUAACACAUGCAAGUCGAGCGAUUCUCUUCGGAGAAGAGCGGCGGACGGGUGAGUAACGCGUGGGUAACCUGCCCUGUACACACGGAUAACAUACCGAAAGGUAUGCUAAUACGAGAUAAUAUGCUUUUAUCGCAUGGUAAAAGUAUCAAAGCUCCGGCGGUACAGGAUGGACCCGCGUCUGAUUAGCUAGUUGGUAAGGUAACGGCUUACCAAGGCGACGAUCAGUAGCCGACCUGAGAGGGUGAUCGGCCACAUUGGAACUGAGACACGGUCCAAACUCCUACGGGAGGCAGCAGUGGGGAAUAUUGCACAAUGGGCGAAAGCCUGAUGCAGCAACGCCGCGUGAGCGAUGAAGGCCUUCGGGUCGUAAAGCUCUGUCCUCAAGGAAGAUAAUGACGGUACUUGAGGAGGAAGCCCCGGCUAACUACGUGCCAGCAGCCGCGGUAAUACGUAGGGGGCUAGCGUUAUCCGGAAUUACUGGGCGUAAAGGGUGCGUAGGUGGUUUCUUAAGUCAGAGGUGAAAGGCUACGGCUCAACCGUAGUAAGCCUUUGAAACUGGGAAACUUGAGUGCAGGAGAGGAGAGUGGAAUUCCUAGUGUAGCGGUGAAAUGCGUAGAUAUUAGGAGGAACACCAGUUGCGAAGGCGGCUCUCUGGACUGUAACUGACACUGAGGCACGAAAGCGUGGGGAGCAAACAGGAUUAGAUACCCUGGUAGUCCACGCCGUAAACGAUGAGUACUAGCUGUCGGAGGUUACCCCCUUCGGUGGCGCAGCU
rnacentral:rRNA from 1 species